ensembl:lncRNA
CUAGACUUAAACUUGCAGUAUAGCAGAGGGUGACCUUACAUUCCUGACUCUCUUGCCCUCAUGUCCACGACGUGCUGGGUGAUCUGACCUGGUGCUGUUGUUAACAAUCACAAACGGUUCUCUGUCAACAGUCUUCCUAGUUUUAAAACACGACAGUAAGAAUUCUUUCAGAGCUGAGCCUUUAGGCAUUGGUACUCCUUGGGCUGAGUGACCCCCACCCUGAAACACUGGACCAGAGAUCAUGAGCAUGAAAAAUGCCUAAGUGUGGUUCCCGCAUCACUGCUGCCUGUGGAGUGUCUGCUACCCAAGUCUCUGCCAUCCUUAUCCCUGCCCUUUCUGUGGCUUUGGAGAAAGUGCAUUUCCUUCCAUGUCUGCGGUGUGAUCUAUACUCAACUUCCAACGAAACAAAGACUGUCACAUCUGACCUCCGGAGCUCUUUCAGAAUAGGUACUUGUUUGAAAAAAGGAAAAUGAAAAAAGAAGAAGAAAGAGGAAAGCGUGGUAUGUCUCAUCAUGUUUGUGGAUCCUAGAUUGUAUAUAGUUGCAGAAGAUCAUGUAUGCAUAUAUGACACAAGAGCCAAGUGAGGGACCUGAGAGAGCAGCUCAGUUGAUAACAUACUUGCUUUGACUGUAAGAAGACAUGAGUUCAAUCCCCAGAAGCC